AGAGUUUGAUCCUGGCUGAGAACGAACGUUGGCGGCACGCUUAACACAUGCAAGUCGAACGAGAAACCCGAGCUUGCUCGGGUGGACAGUGGCAGACGGCUUAGUAACGCGUGGGUAUCUACCUAGAGGUUUGGAACAACUAUUGGAAACGAUAGCUAAUACCAAAUAUUCCCUAAGGGGGAAAGAUUUAUCGCCUUUAGAUGAGCCCGCGUCGGAUUAGCUUGUUGGUAGGGUAAAGGCCUACCAAGGCAACGAUCCGUAGCUGGUCUGAGAGGAUGAUCAGCAAGAUUGGGACUGAGACACGGCCCAGACUCCUACGGGAGGCAGCAGUGGGGAAUAUUGCGCAAUGGGGGAAACCCUGACGCAGCGAUGCCGCGUGAGUGAAGAAGGCCUUAGGGUUGUAAAACUCUUUCACCGGUGAAGAUAAUGACGGUAGCCGGAGAAGAAGCCCCGGCUAACUCCGUGCCAGCAGCCGCGGUAAUACGGAGGGGGCUAACGUUGUUCGGAAUUACUGGGCGUAAAGCGCGCGUAGGCGGAUUANACAGUUGAGGGUGAAAUCCCGGAGCUUAACUCCGGAACUGCCUUCAAUACUACUAAUCUUGAGUUCGGAAGAGGUGAGUGGAAUUCCUAGUGUAGAGGUGAAAUUCGUAAAUAUUAGGAAG
rnacentral:rRNA from 1 species